rnacentral:rRNA from 1 species
GAUGAACGCUGGCGGCGUGCCUAAUACAUGCAAGUCGAGCGAACAGACGAGGAGCUUGCUCCUCUGACGUUAGCGGCGGACGGGUGAGUAACACGUGGAUAACCUACCUAUAAGACUGGGAUAACUUCGGGAAACCGGAGCUAAUACCGGAUAACAUGUUGAACCGCAUGGUUCAACAGUGAAAGACGGUCUUGCUGUCACUUAUAGAUGGAUCCGCGCCGCAUUAGCUAGUUGGUAAGGUAACGGCUUACCAAGGCAACGAUGCGUAGCCGACCUGAGAGGGUGAUCGGCCACACUGGAGCUGAGACACGGUCCAGACUCCUACGGGAGGCAGCAGUAGGGAAUCUUCCGCAAUGGGCGAAAGCCUGACGGAGCAACGCCGCGUGAGUGAAGAGGUCUUCGGAUCGUAAAACUCUGUUAUUAGGGAAGAACAAAUGUGUAAGUAACUAUGCACGUCUUGACGGUACCUAAUCAGAAAGCCACGGCUAACUACGUG